rnacentral:tRNA from 1 species
AGUCGAGUAGUAUAAAGGUUCAACACGCUUCGCUCACACCGAAGAAAUCCGGGUUCGAUUCCCGGCUUGACUA